rnacentral:lncRNA from 1 species
AAUUAUCCACUGACUACUUGAUUUUUCAGAUUUUAUUAAAAAUACACAAACAUUUAUCUACCGACCACUGAUUUUUCGUGCUUUAUAAUCAAUGCUCCACUUUUUCCUCAACAAUGUCAAGGGACCUAACGAAAUAUUGGUCUAAUGACUUUUUUUUCCUCUAAAUACAAGAUGCCUAUUUUGCCCUAACUAAUUAAAAUUAAACAAUGCCCCUCCCAAAUUCUCAUGAUUCGAGUAAUCUAGUACCAAUGAGAAAUAAAAGCAUCCACAACGAGAGCCAUCUUAAUUAUCUAGGUCGGAGAAAAUGCACGUCGAGUAAUCUAUAGUACCAAUCUUCUCAAACGAUGACCCCAAGCAAAAGAGAUGCUCCUCGGCCUUCUUGUUACUCACAUUUUUUUUUUCCUCCUUUUGCUCUCAUAUUAUAUAAAUCAUUUAGAAAGGGCAGAUCUUCUAUAAUAUCACAAUUCCAAAUCUACAAUUUCUUCACAAUGGAUUAUAAUUAGAAUAUUGAUGAUGAGAUUUUUCAUCAUGAUGAAUAUUGAUGCUUAGAUUGUGAUAAUAAUGAAGAUGGAGAAACUGAUUUGUGGUGGUGGUGGUGAUGAUGAAUAUCAUCAGUAACACUAACAAUAUUUAGUUUAGAUGAUAUUUUUAUUCUUUUGGUGUCGGCAAUAAUUUAAUGGGUUAUAACACGGAGGAGUGAUUCACUUCUUAAACUUUAGGUGGAUUAUUGUCCAAAAAAAAAAUUAUGUAUUUUUUAUAAAGGGUUAAGAGCAGGUGAUUGGUGGAUAAUUUUUUUUUUUUCUAAUCAUGUUUGAAUGACGUCGUUUUUGGAUGUUCAAGUAAAAUAACAAUUUUAACCAUACGACGUCAUUAAAAAUCUAACAAAGUUAAGAUGGCAACAAACAACUAAAAUACUUUGUAAACUUCAAGUGUAUUUCUGCACACAAAAAAAUUACGUAGUUUAAAAAAAAAUUAAGUGCUAAGAAGAUAAUUGCCCUUAAAAAUAAGAAUAAUAAUAUAAAUUUAUGUUGUAAAGGGUUAUUAAC